ACCCAGCAGCUAGCUUGAUAAUUAAAAACCAACACAUCAGUAUUAAUAAACCCUAAAAUACAUAUUAUAUUUUAAACAAAUCAUUUUUCCUCCUGAGUAUAGGCGAUAGAAAGGGAGCUCCAUUUUUAAAGCUAUAGAAAAAGUACCGUAAGGGAACGCUGAAAAAGCAAAUGAAAAAAUCCAGUAAAGUAAUAAAAAGCAGAGGUUAUUCCUCGUACCUUUUGCAUCAUGAUUUAGCAAGUCCACAUUAAGCAAAAAGAGUUCUAGUUUAACUUCCCGAAAUUAAGUGAGCUACUCCAAGACAGCCUUAAGAUAGGGCGAACACAUCUCUGUAGCAAAAGAGUGUGAAGAGCUUCGAGUAGAGGUGAUAAACCUACCGAACUUAAUAAUAGCUGGUUGCCUAAAAAAUGAAUAGAAGUUCAGCCUUUAUUUUUCUUUACUUCUUUAUGGAUAUUUCCUAGACAAAAACCAAAGAAAAAUAAAGAGUUAUUCAAAGGAGGUACAGCUCCUAUGAAAUAAGACACAACUUUACAAGGAGGAUAAAGAUCAUAACUUAAUUAAGGUGUAUGUUUUAGUGGGCCUAAAAGCAGCCAUCUAAGAAAAAAGCGUUAAAGCUUAAACAUUUAUUUACCAAUAAUAACGAAAUUUACAUCCUAUUCCCCUAGACUUAUUAGGCUAUUCUAUUUUUAUAGAAGAAAUAAUGCUAAUAUGAGUAAUAAGAGAUAAAACUCUCCAAGCACAAGUGUAAUUCGGAGCGGAAAAUACCACCGAAAACUAAUCGAGCCCAAUAAAAGAGGGCAUUGAAACAAAAAUAGACAACUAGAAAAUUCUUCAAAUUAACCCGUUAACCCUACACUGGCGUGCAUUUAUGGAAAGACUAAAAGAAAAAGAAGGAACUCGGCAAACAUAUUUUAUAAGCCUCGCCUGUUUACCAAAAACAUCGCCUCUUGAUAACAAAAUAUAAGAGGUCCCGCCUGCCCUGUGACUAAUGUUUAACGGCCGCGGUAUUUUGACCGUGCAAAGGUAGCGCAAUCAAUUGUCUUUUAAAUGAAGGCCUGUAUGAAUGGCACAACGAGGGCUUAACUGUCUCCUUUUUCCAGUCAAUGAAAUUGAUCUUCCCGUGCAGAAGCGGGAAUUUUAACAUAAGACGAGAAGACCCUAUGGAGCUUAUAAACGCAAGAACAGACCACGUCAAUCACUCUGAUUUAUCAGACUAAACUAACUGAGCACCCUGUUCUCAUGUUUUUGGUUGGGGCGACCAUGGAGCAAAACUUAACCUCCACGCAGAACGAAAAUAUACUAUUUUCCAAUUUAAGGAAAACAACCCUAAAAAUCAGAACAUCUGACUUUUAUUGAUCCGGCAAAGCCGAUUUACGAACCGAGUUACCCUAGGGAUAACAGCGCAAUUCUCUUUUAGAGUUCUUAUCGACAAGAGGGUUUACGACCUCGAUGUUGGACCAGGACAUCCUAAUGGUGCAGCCGCUAUUAAGGGUUCGUUUGUUCAACGAUUAAAGUCCUACGUGAUCUGAGUUCAGACCGGAGCAAUCCAGGUCAGUUUCUAUCUAUGAUAUGUUCUUCUCUAGUACGAAAGGACCGAGAAGAAAAGGCCUCUACUUUAAGCAAGCCCUCCCCCUAUUUGAUGUAAACAACUAAACUAGAUAAAGGGGCAUAUACUCUUUAAGCUUAGAUAAUGCUUG
rnacentral:rRNA from 1 species